rnacentral:rRNA from 1 species
GACGAACGCUGGCGGCGUGCCUAAUACAUGCAAGUAGGACGCAGUUGCGAACGGGUGAGUAACGCGUAGGUAACUGCCUAUUAGAGGGGGAUAACUAUUGGAAACGAUAGCUAAUACCGCAUACUAGUAGAUGGACCUGCGUUGUAUUAGCUAGUAGGGAGGGUAAUGGCCUAACUGUGCGACGAUACAUAGCCGACCUGAGAGGGUGAUCGGCCACACUUGGACUGAGACACGGCCCAGACUCCUACGGGGGGCAGCAGUAGGGAAUCUUCGGCAAUUGGGGGAACCCUGGCCGAGCAACGCCGCGUGAGUGAGGAAGUUUUUCGGAUCGUAAAGCUCUGUUGUUAAGGAAGCGGUACUUAACCAGAAAGGGACGGCUAACUACGUGCCAGCAGCCGCGGUAAUAC